GCCAGUGGGACCUUCCAGUCCCUCUCAAAACCAUCUGCAGCAGUAGUCACCUCGGUGAUCCCCAUAAAGAGCUGGGUCUUACUGUGGACAAAGCCCCAUCAUUAACCUGUGCAUAUUUUUCUUGUGCAGCAACAGAAACAUGAGGUCGGUCCAGCCUGGGGCAGUUUCUCUCCAAGAGAAGAUGGAGGAAGCACAGCUAAGUGACUGGAAAUUUGACAUGCCUUCAUGUCAAGAGAUACCUGUACCUCUUGGAAACAACAAGCCCUUUGUGGUACCUCAGUGGGAUCAUCAGUGGGGCAUGGCCCUCUCUUGGACAACGUUCUCAUGCUGCUUUGCAAAGAGAAUAUAUAACAGGAUUUGUACAGGGCUGCAAAUGCUGAAGAUGACAGUUAAGGAAAAUGAAAACUCCAUAAAAGGUAUGGGAUAAAGAUGUUCCAAAUAGAAGUAAGCUUUUAAAUACUUCUGUGCGACUGUGUUGGUAAUGAAGCCAUUGAUAGGUGUGUGGCAAGCUAACAAGAAUGGCUGAAAAGGAUUACCUUCACCUCUGGGCUUUUUUCACUGUAGUUAGAAUCAUCUCGAGUCCACAAUUCCUGUUGUGUUACAAAUCUUUUACAGCUAGACAGUUUUUAGGCCUAAGCAACUCUUAAGGUGAGCAAGGGAAAGAUUCACAAUGUCCUUCCUCGUGUAGGCUCAUGUCUGAGCCCAUCAUGGUGAGGCAGGACAACCCAUCUUGGAGUUUGUGAGGGAGCGGGAGAACUGACUAACCCAGAUAAUCAAAAACUCCCCUACCUCAUACUGUCCCUAGAAGGAAAUGUGCAAAUGAAAAUUCUGGCAUUUGAUUAUCCUUUUCAUAUCAAAACUGAAAUUUUAAAGGUUCUUUGCCUGUAAAGGAACUAUUGAUCCUUCAUCUUAAGGAAAAGGAAACAAACCAGCAAAGAACACAGCUAAACUCUUUAGAAGAGUUUUCUAACAGAGUCAUUUCUGAAUUUGAUGUAAUAAAAGUAUUCCAAGUGGCCUAUUACCCUCA
rnacentral:lncRNA from 1 species